GUGCGGGGUGCUAUAAUGCAGUAGAACGCUGAAGACUUUAGCUUGCUAAAGUUGGAAGAGUUGCGAACGGGUGAGUAACGCGUAGGUAACCUGCCUACUAGCGGGGGAUAACUAUUGGAAACGAUAGCUAAUACCGCAUAACAGCAUUUAACACAUGUUAGAUGCUUGAAAGGAGCAAUUGCUUCACUAGUAGAUGGACCUGCGUUGUAUUAGCUAGUUGGUGAGGUAACGGCUCACCAAGGCGACGAUACAUAGCCGACCUGAGAGGGUGAUCGGCCACACUGGGACUGAGACACGGCCCAGACUCCUACGGGAGGCAGCAGUAGGGAAUCUUCGGCAAUGGGGGCAACCCUGACCGAGCAACGCCGCGUGAGUGAAGAAGGUUUUCGGAUCGUAAAGCUCUGUUGUAAGAGAAGAACGUGUGUGAGAGUGGAAAGUUCACACAGUGACGGUAACUUACCAGAAAGGGACGGCUAACUACGUGCCAGCAGCCGCGGUAAUACGUAGGUCCCGAGCGUUGUCCGGAUUUAUUGGGCGUAAAGCGAGCGCAGGCGGUUUAAUAAGUCUGAAGUUAAAGGCAGUGGCUUAACCAUUGUUCGCUUUGGAAACUGUUAGACUUGAGUGCAGAAGGGGAGAGUGGAAUUCCAUGUGUAGCGGUGAAAUGCGUAGAUAUAUGGAGGAACACCGGUGGCGAAAGCGGCUCUCUGGUCUGUAACUGACGCUGAGGCUCGAAAGCGUGGGGAGCAAACAGGAUUAGAUACCCUGGUAGUCCACGCCGUAAACGAUGAGUGCUAGGUGUUAGGCCCUUUCCGGGGCUUAGUGCCGCAGCUAACGCAUUAAGCACUCCGCCUGGGGAGUACGACCGCAAGGUUGAAACUCAAAGGAAUUGACGGGGGCCCGCACAAGCGGUGGAGCAUGUGGGUUAAUUCCAAGCAACGCGAAGAACCUUACCAGGGCUUGGCAUCCCGAUGGUAUUCCAAGAGAUAAGAAAUUUCU
rnacentral:rRNA from 1 species